rnacentral:rRNA from 1 species
GACGAACGCUGGCGGCGUGCUUAACACAUGCAAGUCGAACGGAAAGGCCCUGCUUUUGUGGGGUGCUCGAGUGGCGAACGGGUGAGUAACACGUGAGUAACCUGCCCUUGACUUUGGGAUAACUUCAGGAAACUGGGGCUAAUACCGGAUAGGAGCUCCUGCUGCAUGGUGGGGGUUGGAAAGUUUCGGCGGUUGGGGAUGGACUCGCGGCUUAUCAGCUUGUUGGUGGGGUAGUGGCUUACCAAGGCUUUGACGGGUAGCCGGCCUGAGAGGGUGACCGGCCACAUUGGGACUGGGAUACGGCCCAGACUCCUACGGGAGGCAGCAGUGGGGAAUAUGGCACAAUGGGCGGAAGCCUGAUGCAGCAACGCCGCGUGCGGGAGGACGGCCUUCGGGUUGUAAACCGCUUUCGCCUGUGACGAAGCGUGAGUGACGGGAAUGGGUAAAGAAGCACCGGCUAACUACGG